rnacentral:rRNA from 1 species
CAGUAGCCGCGGUAAAACGUAGGGUGCAAGCGUUAAUCGGAAUUACUGGGCGUAAAGCGUGCGCAGGCGGUUUGUUAAGACAGAUGUGAAAUCCCCGGGCUCAACCUGGGAACUGCAUUUGUGACUGGCAGGCUAGAGUAUGGCAGAGGGGGGUGGAAUUCCGCGUGUAGCAGUGAAAUGCGUAGAUAUGCGGAGGAACACCGAUGGCGAAGGCAGCCCCCUGGGCCAAUACUGACGCUCAUGCACGAAAGCGUGGGGAGCAAACAGGAUUAGAGACCCCCGUAGUCCAUGUCUCUUAUAA